rnacentral:rRNA from 1 species
AUCAUUACCGAGUGAGGGCCCCCCGGCCGACCUCCCACCCCUUUGUGAUUUGACCCCGGUUGCCUCGGGGGCGACCCGGACCGCCAACCCCCCCCCCCCGGGGGGCGGCGGACCCGGGGCCCCCGAUGGACGGUUCAACGCUGCAUCUGUGCGUCUGAGUCGGAUUUACACAAUCAAUCAAAACUUUCAACAACGGAUCUCUUGGUUCUGGCAUCGAUGAAGAACGCAGCGAAAUGCGAUAAGUAAUGUGAAUUGCAGAAUUCAGUGAAUCAUCGAAUCUUUGAACGCACAUUGCGCCCGCUGGUAUUCCGGCGGGCAUGCCUGUUCGAGCGUCAUUACACCACUCCAGCCUGGCUGGGUAUUGGGCGCCGCGGUCUGCCGCGCGCCUCAAAGUCUCCGGCCGAGCCGCCCGUCUCUCAGCGUUGUGAACUCAUCCGCUGCGGGGCGCGGGCGCGCCCGACGCCGUUAAACGUCUCUCCAAGGUGACCUCGGAUCAGG